UACGUAGGGUGCGAGCGUUGUCCGGAAUUACUGGGCGUAAAGAGCUCGUAGGUGGUUUGUCGCGUUGUGCGUGAAAACUCACAGCUUAACUGUGGGCGUGCGGGCGAUACGGGCAGACUGGAGUACUGCAGGGGAGACUGGAAUUCCUGGUGUAGCGGUGGAAUGCGCAGAUAUCAGGAGGAACACCGGUGGCGAAGGCGGGUCUCUGGGCAGUAACUGACGCUGAGGAGCGAAAGCGUGGGGAGCGAACAGG
rnacentral:rRNA from 1 species